UGCAGCUUAGGCAUGGUAUUAUCGUGAAUAUUUUAAAACUUCAGAAGGACUAUGAAGAAGUUGAAAAUUUAGUGGGUGGAAAGGUGUGAACCGCUGGUGCAAACCCUUGGAUUGGGUUAAAAUUGAAAAGAAGCGUCAAGAUAAGGAAAGAAUGCUGGAUGAGCACAAGAAGUUGGUUGAAGGAAUAUUAAAGUGCGACAAGAAGAGGCGAAAGAGGAUUGAAGCAGCAGGAAUUGACUAUGAGUGCCCAGAAAUUGUGGGUUCAAUUCAGGCUGCAUCGAAGAAGAUCAGAUUUGAUGCAGAAUAGAUCUAUCCAGCAGAACCAAUGCAGCAAGUAGAUCAGUAUAUGCGAGGCAGUUUGCAUCACGAUUCACGGUCAUGUAAGCUGUAAGGUCACGUGCCGUUGAACCAUGCUGGCUGAUGGAAAGCCAUCAAUCCAAGUGUCUAUUGGUUAUAGCUUCUUUGUAACCACAGCUCAAACUAUGAAGAAUUCUGGAAAUCCUAAGGGUGAUAAGAUGAAUUUUUCUAGCUAUCUAGUACCUUAAUGCAAAGUGUUUAGGCUAUGAUGUGCCAGAUUUGCAAGUUCUUUUGGUUAUUUUGUUCUUUUCCCUGCUGAAUGUACAGUUAAUGAUUUCCAUAAUUAUCUAAAGACUAUGAAUCUACAGGUUUAAUUAGUUCCCGUUGAACAUCUUGGGGAAAAAAUAGUUUUUGGGACCUCAAUUUUUU